GUGCUCUCUUCAGCAACAUGUGUACUAAAAUUGGAAUGAUACAGAGAUUAGCACGGUUCCUGCACAAGGAUGAUAGACAAAUUCAUGCAGUGUUCCAUAUUUAU